CGCGGCCUAGUGGCGGACGGGUGAGUAACGCGUGGGCAAUCUGCCCCGUACCGGGGGAUAAGACCUGGAAACAGGUGCUAACACCGCAUGACAGGCGGGGGCGCAUGCCCCGGCCUUGAAAACUCCGGUGGUACGGGAUGAGCCCGCGUCCGAUUAGCCAGUUGGCAGGGUAACGGCCUACCAAAGCGACGAUCAGUAGCCGGCCUGAGAGGGCGGACGGCCACACUGGGACUGAGACACGGCCCAGACUCCUACGGGAGGCAGCAG
rnacentral:rRNA from 1 species